UACGUAGGUGGCAAGCGUUGUCCGGAUUUACUGGGCGUAAAGAGCGCGCAGGCGGUCGUUCAAGUCGCGUGGGAAAGCCCCCGGCUCAACUGGGGAGGGUCACGCGAUACUGAUCGACUCGAAGGCAGGAGAGGGUAGUGGAAUUCCCGGUGUAGUGGUGAAAUGCGUAGAUAUCGGGAGGAACACCAGUGGCGAAGGCGACUACCUGGCCUGUUCUUGACGCUGAGGCGCGAAAGCUAGGGGAGCAAACGGG
rnacentral:rRNA from 1 species